rnacentral:rRNA from 1 species
UCCAGACUCCUACGGGAGGCAGCAGUGAGGAAUAUUGGUCAAUGGACGAGAGUCUGAACCAGCCAAGUAGCGUGAAGGAUGACUGCCCUAUGGGUUGUAAACUUCUUUUAUAUGGGAAUAAAAUGUUCCACGUGUGGGAUUUUGUAUGUACCAUAUGAAUAAGGAUCGGCUAACUCCGUGCCAGCAGCCGCGGUAAUACGGAGGAUCCGAGCGUUAUCCGGAUUUAUUGGGUUUAAAGGGAGCGUAGAUGGGUUGUUAAGUCAGUUGUGAAAGUUUGCGGCUCAACCGUAAAAUUGCAAUUGAUACUGGCAGCCCUGAGUACAGUUGAGGUAGGCGGAAUUCGUGGUGUAGCGGUGAAAUGCUUAGAUAUCACGAAGAACUCCGAUUGCGAAGGCAGCUUACCGGCGCCCAACUGACGCUGAAGCACGAAAGCGUGGGUAUCGAACAGGAUUAGAUACCCCAGUAC